rnacentral:lncRNA from 1 species
CCACAUGUAAAACAUACUUAUUAAUAAUGUAUCACUAGGAUCAACAAAGAUUUCAACAACUUACUAAAUAUUUACCCAAAUAAUACAUUUUUCAUAUUAAUUUUUUUUUUUAAAGUGAUAAGGAGUAACAUGUAUUUUAAUCAUGACAGCUUCUUUGUAAUACAUGUCAUGAUCAAACGAUUUAUUAAAUAUCAAUCUGCAAUAUAUUCUUCAUCUAAAAAUUUAUUUUGCAUAGCACUAUUAAUGACCUUCAACAAUGCUUAUAUAAUGGAUCAAUAGAUCACUUUCAAUUAUGGCCUUCACUGGAAAAAUUUGUUUUAUUGUGAUCAUCUUUAUGAUGACAUUCAUCAGAUAGUGGGGAGCACUUGUAUCCAUGCACCAUUAAAGUCCAUCAAGCCUCUUUGUGAUCAUAGUUGUGCAGGAUAAACUAUAAAUAUUGUUUAUUCUGUUGGUACUUAAUCCCAAUUCAUUAAUGACAGCAGUGCUGAUUAUUAAGUUUAAGAAUUUAAUUUACUGAAUAAUUUGUGUAAUAUAGCAUCAAUUUUUUUCUUGCUCAAUAUGGCAAAGGAAGUGAGGAUGACCCUAUCGACAUGCAUGAAUGAUGUUCACUAAAACAAAAGUUUGUGACGGAAAAGCAACUGAAUUGAAAAGGGUCAAUUGAUUUUAAUUUUUGAGGAUGAUUGCUAUUGACAAAAUGAUUGAGGUCCAAAAUAAUGUUGGUCUUACAGUUUACAAUUUUUAUAACAUAACACAUCAUAGAAUAAUGAGACUGAUCUGCAUGUCCAGUGUUUACAAUUUAUUUGACAAGAUCUGAGUCUCUCUAGAUUAUCAAUGUAAAAUUAUGAUGAGAAAUAAUGUAAAAAUGUAUAGAAAUUAGGAAAAAAAUAUUGGAUUCAAUUCAAUCUUUACCUAACAUAACUAAGUUAACAUUUAAGACUGGAUCUUA